rnacentral:lncRNA from 1 species
GGAGCAGGCCUGUAGCGUCGCUAGUGUUCCUUGUCAUCAGGUUACAUUGGCCGUUGCAUUCUUGUUGAUGUAGUUUGCAUCUCCAUCUCCUCCUACCAUGAUAGUUGGUGACUAGCCAUUCGCGGCUAGAGCUCUUCGAUAUUGCAUCCUUCUCCGUCAAUUUACAUCAGUAUGUGUCAAAUUAAACUUAUUGGCAGGUGCAUUCGAGUGAGAGCUAUCGACACUUGAGUGCUGACCAUAUCUAAACUUAUUCCAGAUUUCGGACUAGGAGAAGCUUUCCGCCCUGUAAGUGUAUAGAUGUAUUCCAGAGCAAGGAAAAAAACACCAAGUGAGAUGUAUUACUUGCCAUUUUACUAAGCAGGUGCAUUCAUAUUAUUUUUAUGUCCUGUUUGACACUGUAUAUAAUUGAUUGCUUUGAAAUGCCUACAUUACGAGAGUACAAUAAAGUACGUUGAGAAUAUUGUUCUUGAUUGAGUAAAAAAACUGAUUUAACUCAUGCUUUUGUGUAUAUUUUUUGCGGAUAAACUCAUGCUUUUGUGUUGACAUACACUCACAUUAUGGAUUGAAGUUCUCAUGAUGGUAAUGAUGAGUGUGCAAGGGCCGUAUAGGUCAGACAUAGGUCUAAUUAACAAAUCACAGAAAGGAGAGGAGGAAGCUGAGCAACACUCCUUUUUCUAUUUGGAACCAGCAUCAUUUAUUGGGUAUGUAGGAAAUUAUUCUUUGCCUCUAUUGGUUGUACCUUAUUCUAUAUUGUACUGCCAGUACCAUGGCAUACCAAUUGUUUGGAUAGAUCAAAAGGCAAGCUAAAGAUCAAUUAGAUAAAUGCUACUGUACUCGCACAUCUCACAUCUCAUUUAGCUUUAUACAUACCUUGUAUCAGCAUUUCUUGAAAACACAUUUAUGCAGUCACACAUCUGACCUUGUUUUUUUUUGAAUUUUGCUUGGUUGGAACUGUAUACAUUUGCGUUGUCUAACUAGUAAUGCUUGUUGAUUGAAUUUGCAGCAUUUGAAUCCUCCUCAGAAGAGAACACGACAUUAGCUAGUGCCAAAAAUGCCAACACAACUUGGCCAUGCUUCUAUCAAGUUGCCUUGGUCCAACCCUUGCAAGCUUCUUCAUCUAUAACAAACAUCAAUCCUGGGAGCACUAGUCAAAGAGUCAGUGUUCUACGGUCUAGCAAAAAGAUAUAGAGGAAGUCACUGCCACUACUCCUACCAGAAGAUUAAUUUUAAGAAUAAAAUUUCUUGUUCUGGCUGCUGAUUAAUUGCCACUGAAUUUAUCCACAUGUUAAUGUCAUAAUUGUUAUUGCUCUGCUACUUAGUUGCUAGUAGAUUUUUUGUUUUCGAAAGAGGCCAGAAUUUAUUUACACAUCUAUGGUAUACAUGUCUCUGACGGUGUCUCUUGUGGGUGCAUUUCUUGAACUACAUAUGUCUUAUGAAUGCUAACUCAGCUGGAGCAUCCAUGUUAAAU